UUCCCCGGGGUCUGUGUCUGCUUACAUUUUCUCUUCUAUACUUUUCACCUGUAGUCUGACCUGGGCUUUUCCCUAACAGAGGUGACCUCACAGGAGGCUGAUCCAUCUGCCUUCUGGUUUCCCAGAUCAUAAUUACGCUGUAAUUGAAAUUGUGCUUCAUGGUAACUUGAAGUCAUCAUGUUCCAGACUGCCUGUAACACCUCAGUGUAGAUACAAGCACCAUUAUGCUGAUCUCAGAAAUCUGGCAUCGUCCAUUCAUCCUACAUCUUCAUUUCAGUGGACUCAUGUUAUUUAUCCGUGAACCCCCAGAUACUGAACCAUUGCCUUGAAAGCCAUCUUCCUACUUAUAGUUGACCCUUCAACAAGCAUAGGGUCUCUUCAUUUUUUUUCUGAAGCUUUAUUAUCUCUGACUCAGUCUGUGGCCAGACUAGAGCCAGGAACCAUUUAUUCUCAAGACUCAAAAGGCUGAUGAUGACUGCUGUGGAAAAAUACUACCUUCCCAAAAGCGCUUAUGGAUUUAAAGAUCAUCUUAAAUAUACAGAAGCAGAAACACGUGAGCUGAAAUAUAAAGGAAGAGAAAUAUUAAGUGUUUUUGAAAUUUGUACGAAAAAUUAAACAUGCAGAUGGAUAAAGUGACCCAGUGAAUGCAGCUGUUUAAUAUGGUGGAGUGGAGUGAUUGAUUGCUGCUUGCUGGAGCCCAGGGCUGAAAGCUAUUUAGCCAAGCUGAGCAACAUGAAUUGUCUUAUUACACGACUACAACAAUUUGUGCCCUCAAAUUUUUCUUCCUACACUUUAUGAACACCACAAAGAGAACACAAGUCUACAGCAUGACUUUUUAAAUCCAUUUCUACUCUAGUUUCACACACUGCGGUUUCCCCCAGGUUUCUCAUUUCCGAAGCUUCCUGAGAGCUUUCCCCAGACCCAGUCUGGGCCCUGUUUUUGUUUGUUUGUUUGUUUGGUUGUUUUAUUUCUACCACUUUCCUUCUGAAUGUGCAUGACACAAGUUCAGGAGAAACAAUCUGGAAAAAGAGGCUUUUCCUCAGAUGGCAGAAGGCAUUGGGAGACACUCAGAAAGAAAUGGCAAAUCCUCUCCAGCAAGCAGGAAUGAGACAAUGGCGGGGAACAUUCAUAUGCGUGAUUUAUCUAUAUUAGUAAAUUGGACCAGAGUGAACCAAGUAUGAGAAAUAGGUUAUACCAGACAAGAGGAUCAAAGUGAGGUACGGGAUAAGUUGACGUAUACUGUAUAAGUUUAAUCUUUGGUCUGAUAAACUUUACCUCACUCCAUUUUUUUUUUUAAUUUAUUUAGAGA